rnacentral:tRNA from 2 species
GGGUCCAUAGCUCGGUGGUAGAGCAAUUGACUGCAGAUCAAUAGGUCACUGGUUCGAACCCAGUUGGGCCCU